rnacentral:rRNA from 1 species
CAGUAGCCGCGGUAAUACGUAGGGCGCAAGCGUUAAUCGGAAUUACUGGGCGUAAGGCGUGCGCAGGCGGUUCGUUAAGACAGAUGUGAAAUCCCCGGGCUCAACCUGGGAACUGCAUUCGUGACUGGCAAGCUAGAGUGUGGCAGAGGGGGGUGGAAUUCCGCGUGUAGCAGUGAAAUGCGUAGAUAUGCGGAGGAACACCGAUGGCGAAGGCAGCCCCCUGGGCCAACACUGACGCUCAUGCACGAAAGCGUGGGGAGCAAACAGGAUUAGAUACCCCAGUAGUCCCUGUCUCUUAUAC